rnacentral:rRNA from 1 species
UACGUAGGGUGCAAGCGUUGUCCGGAUUCAUUGGGCGUAAAGAGCUCGUAGGCGGCUUGGCAAGUCGGGUGUGAAACCUCCAGGCUCAACCUGGAGACGCCACCCGAUACUGCUAUGGCUAGAGUCCGGUAGGGGACCACGGAAUUCCUGGUGUAGCGGUGAAAUGCGCAGAUAUCAGGAGGAACACCGGUGGCGAAGGCGGUGGUCUGGGCCGGCACUGACGCUGAGGAGCGAAAGCGUGGGGAGCGAACAGG